rnacentral:rRNA from 1 species
CAAUAGCGUAUAUUAAAGUUGUUGCAGUUAAAAAGCUCGUAGUUGGACCUUGGACCUGGACAGGCGGUCCGCCUCACGGCGAGUACUGUCUUGCUGGGUCUUUCCUCUUGGUGAUCUGUUGUUUCGGCAGCAGGGAACCAGGACCUUUACUUUGAAAAAAUUAGAGUGUUCAAAGCAGGCUCGACGCCGGAAUAUAUUAGCAUGGAAUAAUAAAAUAGGACGUGCGGUUCUAUUUUGUUGGUUUUUGGAAUCGCCGUAAUGAUUAAUAGGGACAGUCGGGGGCAUUAGUACUCACAUGCUAGAGGUGAAAUUCUUGGAUUUUGUGAAGACUAACUUCUGCGAAAGCAUUUGCCAAGGAUGUUUUCAUUCA